rnacentral:rRNA from 1 species
UACGGAGGAUGCAAGCGUUAUCCGGAAUGAUUGGGCGUAAAGCGUCCGCAGGUGGCGAUGUAAGUCUGCUGUUAAAGAGUGAGGCUUAACCUCAUAAAAGCAGUGGAAACUACAUCGCUAGAGUGCGUUCGGGGCAGAGGGAAUUCCUGGUGUAGCGGUGAAAUGCGUAGAGAUCAGGAAGAACACCGGUGGCGAAGGCGCUCUGCUAGGCCGCAACUGACACUGAGGGACGAAAGCUAGGGGAGCGAAUGGG